rnacentral:lncRNA from 1 species
GGGCGGGUCGGCCCGGGCUGGACACUGCGCAUGCGCGAGCCCGCCCCACCCCCACGCGGCCAUCUGUCUGGGUCCGAGCGGGGGCUGCACCUGCCGCGGGACAUUAGGGGCUUCCGGAGCGCUCGGGGCUGCAGGCCUAGGUUGUUAUUCUAAUCCUACAUCCCAGAGGACAGUUCAAGUUCGGAGACUCCAUUAUUUAUUCCUGCAAGAAAAAUGCAUCGGGAUCUGGGUCGCCAGCACAUCUGAGUCACCCCGCCCUGCAGGUACCAUCGUUCCGAGGAGCUGUUGUUACGCUGGCCUUGCUCCGAGGUGGGGCUUCCGUGAGCGUUCGGCACCGCCACAGCAAGAGAGAGGAGGUGCGUGUGGCUGUUCAUUUCCUGCCUUUUUUCAGUUCCAUUUUACCUCAUCACCUACCAGGCAUGGUGCGGCCACCGUGAAAAGACUGACACUUAAAUUCCGGGGGCAUCACUGCUGUGACCCCCCUUCCCUCUUUCUAACCGGGAGGGGCUCAGCAUCCCCUGAUGCCAGGACCCCGGUGCCUGGGUCUCUCCAUAAACCCACCAGCUUCCUAGUAGUCACUGCAUCUCUUUCCUGUCCUGGGUGGCUGCAGAAAUGUCACCCAGGAAGCUCUGGGCUGCCUCGAUGGACCUGGAUGUUCUGGGAGCAUCUGAGCAUCCUGCACCCAGGACACGGAUGCAGGGGUGCAGCGAGGGGUGGAGCUCAGGCUGCUCCAGACGGCGUGGGUUCAAGCGCCCGCUCUGCGGGGUGCUGGCCUGUGACCUCUUGGACAAGGCACAGGCCGCCCCCCACCCCGUGGCGUCUCGGCUUCCUCCUUUGUCAAGGGAGAGCGGAGACAACACUUGAGGGUGAGGACCACGCCGGGUGCCACGCUUCAAACCGCCCCACGUGAGCAGGCUGUUGACUGCUCUUAUCAAAUGACACCUCGUCACCGCACACCCCUGAGGUUGGCCACUAUACAAAAAAAAAAAACAAAAAAAAAACAGAAAACGACAAGUGUGGGUGAGGAUGUGGAGAAAUUGGCGUGGGAAUUGUGCCCUGUGGGUGGGAAUGCAAAAGGGUGCAGCCGCUGUGGGAAAAAAUAGGGGGUCUCCUCAAAAAUGAAACACAGAACCACCCUGUGACCCAACCAUUGGGCUUCUGGGUCUAUCCCCAAAGAACAGACAGCAAGGACUCAAAAGAGAUAUUGCUACACCCACGUGCAUUGCAACGUUAGUCACACUA